AAGAAAAAAAAAAAAGAAAGGAGGAAAGAAAGAAAAAAAAUAGACGAGGGAGGGGGAGAAAAACAUGAGGAAAAGCAGUGCGGGUAGGGCUUGGCUGCUUAGCUUAUUAAGGGAGCUGGAGCUUUGCUGGACGCAGUUUAUCCACCAGCAUCGGGCCUCUGUCCCUGCUUCUCCCGAAACACCGUUCUGCAGAGGAGAAAAAGGAGGGGGGAAAUAAGGGGGAAAAAAAAAUAAGAAGAAGCUGGAGCCCAAGGAGUCGCUGUGCAAUUUAUUCCAAGGGGUGGCUGUUGAGAAGGCGGCAAUUUGCGGCGGCCGGGGGUUAUUUAGUGCGAUAUGAAAUCAAAUGAUCCUAUUGCUCAAAUAACAGUGUCUGGGAGGAGAAGCGAGCGCGCUCCAAAGCAGCAGCAGCAGUGGCAAGCACUGAGAUUGAGCAGGAUGGAGUGGCCUGGCCAAGCCGUGGCCCGCUGGCAGGAGCUGCAGAGUGGACAGCAGAGGGAACACAGCUUGGUAGUGAAGGGGCUGUUCUCCUGAAAGAGGAUCCUGGCAAAAACAUGGCUUGGUGCAGGAGAUGGCACGCCAAAGGCAAGACAGCAGCAGAUACUUGAAUGGAGACUCCUCGUGUUUACAGCCUGGCCACACGAGCAACUGAGACCCGAAAUCUCCCUGACAUCCUCUCUGGAUGCUUGGCCUUGGAAUAGCCUCAUUCGUGCCACACCUGCUCCCUUCCACUCGUGGAGCCUUCUGUGCUGCACAGGACACUGGAAAAGCACUUGGAGAUGGCUGGAGAAGGCUGGGGCUUCCUGGAAAAUGAUCUCUAAACCAGGCCCUUCCCUGCGCCGUGGCUUUUCUGGGGCUCGUUAAUAUCAGUGGUUCCUGCUGGAGGAACUCUGUCACCUUCCCCAAGGCAGCAGAUCUGAGGCCAGACGUGGUGUGCGCUGCUUGUGCAUCAGACAUGAGUAAUAACAAGUUUGGAGGAACUGCACCACUUAAUAAAAGCAUUUUAUUACAUUUAAA